GUUGGGCGUGGUGGUGCACGCCUGUAAUCCCAGCUACUCUGGAGGCUGAGGUAGGAGGAUCACUUGAGGUCAGGAGUUCAAAACCAGCCUGGCCAACAUGGUGAAACUCCAUCUCUA
rnacentral:SRP_RNA from 1 species